rnacentral:rRNA from 1 species
UACGUAGGGUGCAAGCGUUGUCCGGAAUUAUUGGGCGUAAAGAGCUCGUAGGCGGUCUGUCGCGUCGGCUGUGAAAACCUGAGGCUCAACCUCAGGCCUGCAGUCGAUACGGGCAAACUAGAGUACUGCAGGGGAGACUGGAAUUCCUGGUGUAGCGGUGAAAUGCGCAGACAUCAGGAGGAACACCGGUGGCGAAGGCGGGUCUCUGGGCAGUAACUGACGCUGAGGAGCGAAAGCGUGGGGAGCGAACAGG